CAAAAACACAUGCAAGGUUCUAGUAUACAAGGUUCAACGCAUUAAGGUUCAUCAUCUUCCGCACAAUAUGCUCUUGCCAUUGCCGCCUGCAAGAAGAAAAUAAUGGUAAAGCUUUCAGACCAAGGAAACUAGUAAAUUGCAUGCACGAUAACCAAUGAUAAAACAGUAGAAAAUUGUUGUUGCAUAUACUUUGCUGCUUUGCUGAUAAAACAGUAGAAAAUGGUACGGUGUGGGUUAGUUUCAACAAACUGCUACUUUCUUGCAUUCCAAACAAGUCGAGACAUGCUAGCGUGACAGCUGAUGCAUAUACUUUGUAUACUUUGGACUAGAGUAUAUAGAUUCUAGUAUACAUGUUGCAAAAUAAUAUGUAUUAUUGUAUGAAACAAAAAAUAUAAUGUUGCUUAUUACUGGAAUAUAGUAUCCUUGUGAAUUGUGAGUGUGAAUAUGUAUAAUUAUUACUGUUGUACGUGUGUGUAUAUCGAUGGCGUGACGCUACUUGUUUGCACUAUAGUAUAGCUACGUGGACGCAUGUAGUAUAUGUUUGUAUACCUGAUACUUCUUGCUGUAUGCACUCAUUUUUUAUCCAAUUGCUAAUGAACAGUAAAUGUGAGUGUCCGACAUGCAUAUUCAUAGCCAUUCAUUGAUGUUCUAUCUGUACUUAAAAAUGGAGUAUACUGUAUGCGGUAUAUUACUUUAAAAAGGUAUAAAGUAUAUGGUCUUUCAUAAGAGAAUUGGGAGUAUAUAGUAUUUUAUAAAGAAACUAGUAUGUUUAUUUUUCGCAAUAAAAGGAGUAUAUGUAUGAAUAAUUAUGAUGUACUUAGUAUGUAGUAUGUAGGGGUUUUCGCAAAAGAAAAGCAGUAUGAGGUAUCUGAAAAAGAAGUAUGGAGUAUGUCCAAAUUAGGAGUAUAACAAAACAGUAUGAGUUUUGCAGCCUAAUUAGCAUUUUUUUCUCAUAUACAUAUUUCUUUAGUAUAAUGACUAAAUGUAUGUUGGAACACCAACUAUUUCUUGUAUUAGAUAUAGCACCAAAUCUAUUUCAUGGUAUUAAAAUUGUGUAAUGCUUCAGCCCUAGCUAACCAAGAUAUCUAGUAGUCUCCGUACUCAAGUUAGAAUAUAUUUGAUACGGAGUCGUCAAAUGCACUCCCUACUGCACAAUCCUUUCAUUCAAGUAAUAUCUUUCGUAGAAUAACUAAAUGUAUGUUGGAACACAACCUAUUUCUUCUAUUAGAUAUAGCACCAAAUCUAUUUCAUAGAUUUUACUAUUUUGUGAAAUAAUGUGAUAUCCACGGCAUGGAAAGAAAGCCAGUCUUAUUGGAUAGAAUUCAAGAUGCAUUUUCCCUUUUAUGUCAAGUGGACUUAAGAAUUUCUAGUUCGUGUGUAUCAUGUAUAACUCUAAUUAAGUAUACCUGAACAUUCCAAAGGCGAACUUUUAUAUUAUAUUGGCAAACUUUAUAUUCUUUUUUUGUUAAAAUCCUAUAAGAUAAUGCACCCAGUUAAUCAGUCCACGAAGGUUAUUCAGAGAAACAUAGGUAGUAAUAUCAUCGAUACAGGGGACAUAUCCUUUAGUUACAUGGUGAUAUUAUAUGCAUAGGUGCAACAUGCAAUUGAUAGAGAUAUUAAUCCAUCUAGAAAUCUAGGAAGAUAUGCUUAAGCACUCAUCAACAAAUGAUUCUAAUAUUCGAUCCUACUUAAAAAAAAGAGUUAUCUGUACAUGUAUUGAUUAAGUAGAAGUAAAUACUAACAAAUUCAUGCAGAAAUUUACUUUGGCCAACGCAAAUCCGACUCAACUAGAUACAUACAACUAAAUCAAACCUUUGUCUCUUAAGUAAUCAUUGAUCCCAAUGCAGCGAUCACACCUCCAAUUCAAUUGUCCUGCACCGACAUUUUUCUCACCCACAUUACUUGACAUUAACUGUAC
rnacentral:lncRNA from 1 species